GGACCCGUAGCUCAGCCAGGACAGAGUGUCGGCCUCCGGAGCCGAUGGUCCCGGGUUCGAAUCCCGGCGGGUCCGC
rnacentral:tRNA from 1 species